rnacentral:lncRNA from 1 species
GUUAUGCCUGAUGCAGGACCCACCCCUUGGACUUCCCAUUUCCAGGAGCUAAAACUAGACUGAGUUGAGUUUCUGUCACUGACAGUUGACAGAAAAUAUCAACAAUCCAGCCACAUGGAGCCUCAUGGCAGUACCACUAACCCUGGUCACCACAUGAAUACUGACCAGAGGCAUUUCACCUGAAUCAACUGUUUGUGUUCUUAACUCCAUCUCCUCAUCUGCUUCCUGGAAGACCCAACUGACAUAGAUGGUUACAAGAAAUGAUUUCCUCCUUAUAAAACUCUAGUUGCUGUCUCCUUGAUCUGGAAGCUUGUCCCUCCUUGUAACACCUGGCAGGCAUUGUCUCUUCUGGAAAGACUUUACGCCACUGCCCUCUUUUGCUGCCCUUUGACAACUGCAACUGAACUCCUCUGUUCUGAUAAAUUAUAUUGCCCCAGCUUCCUCAUUUUAUAUUGCUGACCAUGUAUCUUCUCCUGAAGACCAAAUACGAAGAAAUACACAAGCUUCUUGUAUAGAAGAUACCUAAAAAGUGUUUGCUGAAUGAAGAAAUAAAGGAUUGCUCAGGCACCACUGGCACUUUAAGUUGUUCAGCAAGUACUCGUGCCUCUUAAGAACUGGCCAAGGGCCGGGCGUGGUGGUUCAUGCCUGUAAUCCCAGCAUUUUGGGACGCCGAGGCGGGCAGAUCACGAAGUCAGGAGUUCGAGACCAGCGUGGCCAACGUGGUGAAACCCCAUCUCUACUAAAAAUACAAAAACUUAGCCGGGUGUGGUGGCCUGCGCCUGUAGUCCCAGCUACUCGGGAGGCUGAGGCACAAGAAUUGCUUGAACCCACGAGGAGGAGCUUGCAGUAAGCCGAGAUCGCGCCAUUGCACUCCAGCCUGGGCAACAGGGCAAGACUCUGUCCUGAAAGAAAAAAAAAAAAAAAAAAAAAAAGAACUGGCCGAGGUCUUAGCUGGAGCACUCUCUCUACCCUGCAUGUUUGACUGCAUUUCUGUCCAUUUUCAAUCCGUUUUGGUUAUACGUUUUUUCACACAGGUCUGUUGAACUUAGAACACCGAAGGCCUGUGUAUUUUCAUGGCUCACAGCUCAUGUUGUGUUGACCUGCCCCACUGUGGUUAAUGUUUAGCCCCUAAACCACCAGCUGAAUGUCCUUAAAUCUGAAAGAAUAAUGAACACACGCCAACAGAUAGCUUAGGUUUAUUUGGUGACUUGCGCCACAUACUUUGCGAAUAUCAUCUCAGUCAUCCUUUUAGCAUCUCUCUCAGGCACAUACUCUCCUCUGUGGUGGCUCAUGCCGGUAAUCCCAGCCCUUUGGGAGGCCGAGGCGGGCAGAUCACUUGAGGCAAGGAGUUCGAGACCAGCCUGGCCAACACGGUGAAACCCCAUCUCUACUAAAAAUACAAAAAUUAGCCGGCUAUGGUGGCAUGCGCCUGUAAUCCCAGCUGCUCGAGAGGCUGAGGCAGGAGAAUCAUUUGAACCCAGGAGGCAGAGGUUGCAGUGAGCCUAGACUGCACCAUUGCACUUCAGCCUGGGUGAGACCCCAUCUCAAAUCAAUCAAUCAAUCAAUCAAUCAAUCAAUCAAUAAGGGAAAAGCUAUCACACAGCAGAAUACAGUCCAAGGGUAACUACUGAAGGGCCAGAUCAAGGAGCAAAGUCUAUCAUGUAUCAACCUUUACAGUGUCCCCAAGGGUCAGCUGUGUAUAGGGGCCCACACAGAAUUUGGAAUCCAAAUACAUCUCUGGAUCCCCAGGCCUGUGUUUGACUCGCCAGGUAGUAAUGAGAUGUCUCCAUUUUCUGCAGGCUGAAUGAUUCCCUCAGAGCAGAAGUAUAAGCAUAUUUAUUGUUUUUCCUUCUAUCAUAAACAGUUAUUAGUUGUGGCCCUUUCUCCCUUCCAAAUAGGUGCCCAAAUUUCUGGAAGUGGAAAGGGCCCAACUUUCCCAUAUCAGGGGGUGGGCCCCACUGGGCGUGAGCCAAUCAGUGUCUUCUGUCCUGUGAGCUCCCGAUUUAUGCUGGUCUAUAACCUGAGAUGGCCUUCUCAGGAUGGACCUCCAGGGAUUGCUGGAACUUGGACUCUUGUCAGCCUGGUAAAUGGUAUGUCUUAGAUCUGCUGCAGCCGUCGUGGAAAACUUGAAGCUGCCAGGAGAGAGGGGUUCCAACAUGUGGUGGCUAAAGAAUGAAUCCAACUCAAAGGAAGCAGAGCCAAGAAAUGGAUCCAUGCUGUUUGAAUCUUGGAUCAAAUUGUGCCUGGAUCUCCAGUGAGAC